AACCAUAGAAACCUGCGGAGUACCUGCGGAAGGAUCAUUACAGAGUUGCAAAACUCCCUAAACCAUUGUGAACGUUACCUAAACCGUUGCUUCGGCGGGCGGCCCGGGUCCUUCCCGGCGCCCCUCGGCCCUCGCGGGCGCCCGCCGGAGGUAAACCAAACUAUUGCAUUGUAUGGCCUCUCUGAGUCUUCUGUACUGAAUAAGUCAAAACUUUUAACAAUGGAUCUCAGAUCGGAAGAG
rnacentral:misc_RNA from 1 species